AUUGAACGCUGGCGGCAGGCCUAACACAUGCAAGUCGAGCGGCAGCGGGUCCUUCGGGAUGCCGGCGAGCGGCGGACGGGUGAGUAAUGCCUAGGAAUCUGCCUGGUAGUGGGGGAUAACGUUCGGAAACGGACGCUAAUACCGCAUACGUCCUACGGGAGAAAGUGGGGGAUCUUCGGACCUCACGCUAUCAGAUGAGCCUAGGUCGGAUUAGCUAGUUGGUGGGGUAAAGGCUCACCAAGGCGACGAUCCGUAACUGGUCUGAGAGGAUGAUCAGUCACACUGGAACUGAGACACGGUCCAGACUCCUACGGGAGGCAGCAGUGGGGAAUAUUGGACAAUGGGCGAAAUCCUGAUCCAGCCAUGCCGCGUGUGUGAAGAAGGUCUUCGGAUUGUAAAGCACUUUAAGUUGGGAGGAAGGGCAGUAAGUUAAUACCUUGCUGUUUUGACGUUACCAACAGAAUAAGCACCGGCUAACUUCGUGCCAGCAGCCGCGGUAA
rnacentral:rRNA from 1 species